GGUGCUCAGGGAAUAAAUAUAUGGUGGGAAUCGGGACGAUUGUCGAGUGUGAACAAUCUUUUACACAAACGUUAUAGCAAUGGCCAAUGAUGUUGGUAGUACUCCUCAGUAUCCGGGAACUGGAGCUCGAGGCCCCUACCGCCCGGGGCUCUGACCGAUACCCUCUGACAGGAUCUUCCAUUGAACCGGGGCUGAGGCGUCAAUCGCAAUCCCUUGGUCUGGGUGAAGUCCCAAGAACCGAGCGAAAGGUGCCUCAAUAAAUAGGAGUUCAAUACAUAAGCAUAGCGAGACCGAGACAGCGUCAAAAUAUAUUGAAGCGGUCCAUUCAAAUAAUGUAUUGCCUGAGGUUGUAACUACCAGAACGUCUCUAAAUCGAGGCAAUGACAUAAAUAUUUCAGAAAUAUGAGCCAACUCUUUUUCCCCGGAAUUCACUGCACGCUGUUUUAGGAACUUGUUUAUAUUUUUAUAAAAUAAUCUUUUGGAAACUAUUUACGCCUGUUACUUGCAUAGAAUUGAUUGAUUUACUAUUGAACUAUGUACUUUUCAAAAUAUUAAAUACAUGUAA